rnacentral:piRNA from 1 species
UAACGUCUGGGGAGUGCGAAAGG